UGAGAGAAAAUGAGAGGAAAUGAAGAUUUGUUGGUUUAGAAAGAGAAAAAGUAGUUAGAUUUUGAAUUCUUGAGCUUUUAAGAGUUCAUAAUGGUAGUUUAUGGUAGUUAGAAAAUUGAUGAUAAUUGCAUUGUUGAAAAUAAGAAGAAAUGUUUAGGGUGUAAUUUGUUUUUGUAAUUUUUGAAAUAAUUGAGAAAUUAAAUAAUAAUGACAAUUCUGUAA
rnacentral:lncRNA from 1 species